GUUGAGCUUGACUCUAGUCUGGCACUGUAAGGAGACAUGAGAGGUGUAGCAUAAGUGAGAGAUGGCAACAUCGCCGGUGAAAUACCACUACUUUCAUCGUUUCCUUACUUACUCGGUUGGGCGGAGCGCGUGCCCCGAGGGCCUCGUGCCCCGGCGGUCACGGUGUUCUAGAGCCAAGCGUGUCAGAGUGGCGAGAGACCUCGGCCGAUCGCCGUUAAUACUCCCGCGUGAUCCGAUUCGAGGAUACUGCCAGGCGGGGAGUUUGACUGGGGCUGUACAUCUGUCAAAGAAUAACGCAGGUGUCCUAAGGCCAGCUCAGCGAGGACAGAAACCUUGCGUAGAGCAAAAGGGCAAAAGCUGGCUUGAUCUCGAUGUUCAAUACGCAUAGAAACUGCGAAAGCACGGCCUAUCGAUCCUUUUGGCUUGAAAAGUUUUCAGCAAGAAGUGUCAGAAAAGUUACCACAGGGAUAACUGACUUGUGGCGGCCAAGCGUUCAUAGCGACGUCGCUCUUUGAUCCUUCGAUGUCGGCUCUUCCUAUCAUUGCGAAGCAGAAUUCGCCAAGCGUCGGAUUGUUCACCCGCCAACAGGGAACGUGAGCUGGGUUUAGACCGUCUUGAGACAGGUUAGUUUUACCCUACUGAUGACUAGUCAUUGCGAUAGUAAUCCUGCUCAGUACGAGAGGAACCGCAGGUUCGGAUAUUUGGUUGACGCUUGGUCGAGCGGGCAAGGGUGCAAAGCUACCAUCCGUGGGAUUAGGCCUGAA
rnacentral:ncRNA from 1 species